UACGUAGGGUGCAAGCGUUAAUCGGAAUUACUGGGCGUAAAGCGUGCGCAGGCGGUUGUGCAAGACAGAUGUGAAAUCCCCGGGCCCAACCUGGGAAUUGCAUUUGUGACUGCAUGGCUAGAGUACGGUAGAGGGGGAUGGAAUUCCGCGUGUAGCAGUGAAAUGCGUAGAUAUGCGGAGGAACACCGAUGGCGAAGGCAAUCCCCUGGACCUGUACUGACGCUCAUGCACGAAAGCGUGGGGAGCAAACAGG
rnacentral:rRNA from 1 species